AUUGAACGCUGGCGGUAUGCUUAACACAUGCAAGUCGAGCGGCAGCGCGGUCAUCGCUCUCGCUUAGGGCGGCCGACGGGUGGGUGAUGCAUCGGAACAUGCCCAGUCACUGUGGCUUACACUUCGACAGAAGUGCUAAUACCCCAAACGUCCAUACGACGUACGCGGGGGAUCAGAAGACCUUGCGCCCUUGGACUGUCCGAUGUCAGAUUAGCUAGUUGGUGGGGUAAAGGCCUACCAAGGCGACGAUCCGUAGCUGGUCUGAGAGGAUGAUCAGCCACACUGGGACUGAGACACGGUCCAGACUCCUACGGGAGGCAGCAGUGGGGAAUUUUGGACAAUGGGGGCAAGCCUGAUCCAGCCAUUCCGCGUGAGUGAAGAAGGCCUUCGGGUUGUAAAGCUCUUUUGUCAGGAACGAAACGGUGCGGGUUAACAUAGUGCGGUAAUGACGGUACCUGAAGAAGAAGCACCGGCUAACUACGUG
rnacentral:rRNA from 1 species